CACGUAGGCGGCCUGCUAAGUCGAAUGUGAAAUCCCUCGGCUCAACCGAGGAACUGCAUUCGAUACUGGCAGGCUUGAGGAUGGUAGGGGUGAGUGGAACUCCAGGUGGAGCGGUGAAAUGCGUAGAUAUCUGGAGGAACACCGGUGGCGAAAGCGGCUCACUGGAUCAUCACUGAUGCUGAGGUGCGAAAGCCAGGGGAGCGAACAGGAUUAGAUACCCUGGUAGUCC
rnacentral:rRNA from 1 species